rnacentral:rRNA from 1 species
AGUGAACGCUGGCGGUAGGCCUAACACAUGCAAGUCGAACGGCAGCACAGUAAGAGCUUGCUCUUACGGGUGGCGAGUGGCGGACGGGUGAGGAAUACAUCGGAAUCUACUUUUUCGUGGGGGAUAACGUAGGGAAACUUACGCUAAUACCGCAUACGACCUACGGGUGAAAGCAGGGGAUCUUCGGACCUUGCGCGAUUGAAUGAGCCGAUGUCGGAUUAGCUAGUUGGCGGGGUAAAGGCCCACCAAGGCGACGAUCCGUAGCUGGUCUGAGAGGAUGAUCAGCCACACUGGAACUGAGACACGGUCCAGACUCCUACGGGAGGCAGCAGUGGGGAAUAUUGGACAAUGGGCGCAAGCCUGAUCCAGCCAUACCGCGUGGGUGAAGAAGGCCUUCGGGUUGUAAAGCCCUUUUGUUGGGAAAGAAAAGCAGCAGGUUAAUACCCCGCUGUAAUGACGGUACCCAAAGAAUAAGCACCGGCUAACUUCGUG